UACAGAGGGUGCGAGCGUUAAUCGGAAUACUGGGCGUAAAGCGCACGUAGGCGGCUCGGUAAGUCGGGUGUGAAACCUCCAGGCUCAACCUGGAGACGCCACUCGAUACUGCCGUGGCUAGAGUCCGGUAGAGGAGCGUAGAAUUCCUGGUGUAGCGGUGAAAUGCGCAGAUAUCAGGAGGAAUACCAGCGGCGAAGGCGGCGCUCUGGGCCGGUACUGACGCUGAGGAGCGAAAGCGUGGGGAGCAAACAGG
rnacentral:rRNA from 1 species